ensembl:lncRNA
AUAUUGCAACUAUUUCUUUAACUAUUCAUUGAACUUAUUAGUAGCGUGAAAAACUACAUACAAUGUCAAACCCCAUCUUUGGAAAAAAAAUAUUUGAAGUGUAAAUAAGUUAUUUAGUUUGUCUCACGUCCCAUUAGAUUGCAUGGAGGGCGCGGGGUUCUGAGUCCAGCUACUUGGGGGGCGAUCGAGACGGAUUAAGGGCCGUUUCAUAGUCAACGCAUCUGUACGCAUACGCGUCCCCAAGGCUACGCAUCGUUACGCUUCGGCCGCCAUUAUGCGUCGGUGCGUAGCCAAAUGUGUCGUCUGCAGCGCUCGUGAGGCUCACUCGGUGUGCGCAUGCGAGAGUAAGCGGGCGAAGAGUUCUACGAAAUGCAUGUUCAGUGAAGCUCCUCCCAAACAAUCACACAUUCAGCAAUAAAUGCUGGAAUAUUCUUGUCAGAGCAUCAAAUCACCAGGAAGAGCUGAAAUCUGCAAAGACUGAGUUUAUUAAAGAGGACAGAGAGAAGAUGAGAGAUCCAGAGCCCUGCAAAAUCAAACGCACUGAAGAACAAACAGGUUGGUGUUUAUUCUUCAUUUUUCAUUAGUAAUGCUGACAGUAAUGCUGACAGCUCGAUUAUGACAAAAAUCAUAAUCAUGAUUUUUUUUUUGGUCAAUAUUGUAUUCACGAUUAUUUAAAUGAUUAUUAAUGGGCCAUAUGACCACCACUUUAUAUGAAAAAUUAAUUUAAAGAUAGUGAUGUAUAUCAAAUAUAUGUUUUCUGUAAAUAAGGUUGCUAUGACAUCUAGAUUUUAGAGACCAGCGAAAUGUAACAGUUCUCA